UAAGACAAAAAAGAAGGGGAAAGGGAAGGAAGGGAAAAGAAAGAAAGAAAAUUGUUAAAGAUUUUUUUUAAGUUGAAAGAAAAAGGGAAAAAAAAGUUGAAAAUGAAGAUGGGGAAAAGAUUUGUUCGUGCUAGGUUGAAGAGAUUUUAUUAGUCCACCACAUUCUGCUAUAAUACUUCUUGUCACCCAGAAUAUCUAAUGCCUAGUCGAGGAUGUACCAUUUAAAAUGAUCAGGAACAUAAAUUUAAGUUAAAAUGGUUAAACGAAUAUUGGCCAAUACAUGAUGCGAUCUGAACUGCAUGAAGUCGCCAUAAAAAUUAAACUGUUGCCAUUACAAUUCACUCAGUAUAUACAGCUGAUUAAACCUAUUUGUCUUUAAAUUAUUCAGCUGGAGGGUUUAGAGGGCAUAGCGUUUGCAAUAGUGUGGAAACUCACUAAGGUACGACAAUUAUCUUAGGCAAUAGGGCGACUAGGCCUGUAAGGUGCGAGAGAGAGAGAGAGAUUAUCUUUGCUCUGCACUCUUGUGUAAAAACUGAGCUCGGCGGAAUGAACAGUGCCCUGGCCCCUCUAUUCGCGCAUCUCGGCUUGGCUCGGCCUCCUCAAUUAGCACCGCUCCCGCCGGAGCCCCGCUGCGCCGCCCAUACACUCCUCACCGCCUCCUACCGCGACCCUGCUCAACAAUCAUGAAACCAUUUAGAAACUGACUCGUUCUGUAAAUAAUCUCAGACGCACCAACAAUGGAAGCCAUCCGACAGGAGUUUAUUAGCAAGAAACCAUUUAAACAGAUGUCCUGUUUUACGCAUAGCCUGGGGACAUUAGAAGCUCCGCUGAUAGCGCAGAGAGAGUUUCGAGCAACCCGGAAGUGUCAGUCAGAAGCGGCCUCUAAUAGUUCAUCUGGACACGGCGAGAAAGACAGAAAGUAAGGCACCUGUGACCCCUCAUAUCCAGCGAAGAGAACAAGUCCCAAGAUUCUGAGCACCUGCCCCAAGUACCCAAAGUACUUACCCCAAAUGAUCAUCCCAACAUCCCAGACAGCCUUCCAGUGGUAAAUGCUUCCUAACGUUAGAGGGUCUUGAGUAACACUGGAUCCUUCAGGCAGACUAACCUACAUCGGCUGGAAUUAAUGACCACAUCUUCACUACAAACAGAGAACAUGGACCAUCACUGGAGCAGCAGUGCCCCUGCACUAGGGGAUAUUUUCUGUAAACGCUAGUCUAUUAGCAGUUGAGUACAGAAAGGUACAGUAUUUUCCCAACUUUCUCACUAAAGUUAGAAACACAGGUGGCCUGCAACAUCUUUGAUGAAUUAGGAAGUGUCACUGACACACAUUUAUCAACAGGUUAGCAAAGUGCAACACUACAGCACACCUCACCAGAGGCACCGAUGUCCUGCGGUAGAAUUACUGUAUUAUUUAUAAUCUAAAACCGUAGGAGGCAUGAUACAUUUGUAGAGAAAAUCCUGUCUCUGUAAAAUGGCAAAUAAGAAAUCUGACUUUCCACUGAAAACAUACGAGGCUCACACGAGCAAUUUAUAAAAACAGAUCUUCUUUUUUUUUUUAUCUUUCCAUCCAACAUUCUUCUGACAGAUGGGAACAGGAACAGUCCAUGUGCAGCUCCUGCUAGCUCUGAAUUUAUGGUCACACUUAAUAUCUGAAGAACGUGACUCUGGAAAAUAUGUUAUAUCUUAUACUACCAAGCAAUAGAAUCUUUCUAAAAACAAUAAAC